UACGUAGGGUGCAAGCGUUAAUCGGAAUUACUGGGCGUAAAGCGUGCGCAGGCGGUUGUGCAAGACAGGUGUGAAAUCCCCGGGCUUAACCUGGGAACUGCACUUGUGACUGCACAGCUGGAGUACGGCAGAGGGGGAUGGAAUUCCGCGUGUAGCAGUGAAAUGCGUAGAUAUGCGGAGGAACACCAAUGGCGAAGGCAGUCCCCUGGGCCUGUACUGACGCUCAUGCACGAAAGCGUGGGGAGCAGACAGG
rnacentral:rRNA from 1 species